rnacentral:rRNA from 1 species
UACCCGAGUAGUCCUGGCCGUAAACGCUGUGUACUAGAUGUUGCUUAUUUUACAUGAAUAAGCAGUGUCGGAGCGAAGGCGUUAAGUACACCGCCUGGGAAGUACGGUCGCAAGGCUGAAACUUAAAGGAAUUGGCGGGAGAGCACUACAAGGGGUGCGGCGUGCGGUUUAAUCUAACUUCACACAGAGAAUCUCACCAGCAGCGACGGCAGAAUGAUGGUCAGAUUGAAUGUCUUACCAAACGAGCCGAGAGGUAGUGCAUGGCCGCCGUCAGCUCGUGCCGUGAGGUGUCCUCUUAAGUGAGGUAACGAGCGAGACCCAUGCCCAUAAUUGCUAGCAGCUUCUUUAGAAGGACUGUGCACAUUAUGGGGACUGCCCUGGAAACGGGGAGGAAGGAGUGGGCUACGGUAGGUCUGUAUGCUCCGAAUCUGCUGGGCUACACGCGCGCAACAAUGGCGAGGACAAUGGGCUGCCACUCCGAAAGGAGAAGCUAAACCUCGAAACCUCGUCUUAGUUUAGAUUGUGGAUUGUAAUUCAUCCUCAUGACAACGGAAUCCCUAGUAAUCGGAUUUUAUCAGAGUCCGGUGAUAUGUCCUGCUCUUUGCACUCACCGCCCGUC